CUGGGCGUUAAGAGCUCGUAGGCGGUUUGUCGCGUCGUCWGUGAAAACCCGCAGCUCAACUGCGGGCUUGCAGGCGAUACGGGCAGACUUGAGUACUGCAGGGGAGACUGGAAUUCCUGGUGUAGCGGUGAAAUGCGCAGAUAUCAGGAGGAACACCGGUGGCGAAGGCGGGUCUCUGGGCAGUAACUGACGCUGAGGAGCGAAAGCGUGGGUAGCGAACAGGAUUAGAUACCCUGGUAGUCCACGCCGUAAACGGUGGGCGCUAGGUGUGGGUUUCCUUCCACGGGAUCCGUGCCGUAGCUAACGCAUUAAGCGCCCCGCCUGGGGAGUACGGCCGCAAGGCUAAAACUCAAAGGAAUUGACGGGGGCCCGCACAAGCGGCGGAGCAUGUGGAUUAAUUCGAUGCAACGCGAAGAACCUUACCUGGGUUUGACAUACACCGGACCGCCCCAGAGAUGGGGUUUCCCUUGUGGUCGGUGUACAGGUGGUGCAUGGCUGUCGUCAGCUCGUGUCGUGAGAUGUUGGGUUAAGUCCCGCAACGAGCGCAACCCUUGUCCUGUGUUGCCAGCAAUUCGGUUGGGGACUCGCAGGAGACUGCCGGGGUCAACUCGGAGGAAGGUGGGGACGACGUCAAGUCAUCAUGCCCCUUAUGUCCAGGGCUUCACACAUGCUACAAUGGCCGGUACAGAGGGCUGCGAUACCGCGAGGUGGAGCGAAUCCCUUAAAGCCGGUCUCAGUUCGGAUCGGGGUCUGCAACUCGACCCCGUGAAGUCGGAGUCGCUAGUAAUCGCAGAUCAGCAACGCUGCGGUGAAUACGUUCCCGGGCCUUGUACACACCGCCCGUCACGUCAUGAAAGUCGGUAACACCCGAAGCCGGUGGCCUAACCCCUCGUGGGAGGGAGCCGUCGAAAGGUGGGAUCGGCGAUUGGGACGAAGUCG
rnacentral:rRNA from 1 species